CACCAAUGCAACAGUCACACCAGAGACAACCUCAGCUGAUGUUACUAUCAUCAGCAGCACCAAUGCAACAGUCACACCAGAGAUGACCUCACCUGCUGUUACUAACAUCAGCAGCACCAAUGCAACAGUCAUACCAGAGACGACCUCACC